rnacentral:rRNA from 1 species
AUUGAACGCUGGCGGCAUGCCUUACACAUGCAAGUCGAACGGCAGCACGGGUGCUUGCACCUGGUGGCGAGUGGCGAACGGGUGAGUAAUACAUCGGAACAUGUCCUGUAGUGGGGGAUAGCCCGGCGAAAGCCGGAUUAAUACCGCAUACGAUCUACGGAUGAAAGCGGGGGACCUUCGGGCCUCGCGCUAUAGGGUUGGCCGAUGGCUGAUUAGCUAGUUGGUGGGGUAAAGGCCUACCAAGGCGACGAUCAGUAGCUGGUCUGAGAGGACGACCAGCCACACUGGGACUGAGACACGGCCCAGACUCCUACGGGAGGCAGCAGUGGGGAAUUUUGGACAAUGGGCGAAAGCCUGAUCCAGCAAUGCCGCGUGUGUGAAGAAGGCCUUCGGGUUGUAAAGCACUUUUGUCCGGAAAGAAAUCCUUGGCACUAAUACGGUCGGGGGAUGACGGUACCGGAAGAAUAAGCACCGGCUAACUACGUG